GACGAACGCUGGCGGCGGGCUUAACACAUGCAAGUCGAACGAAGUGGCGAACGGGUGAGUAAUACGUGGGUAACCUGCACUCCUUUUUGGGAUAAGCCUUGGGAACGGGGUCUAAUACCGAAUCAAGGGGGAUGGGCUCGCGGCCUAUCGGCUGGUUGGUGGGGUGAUGGCCUACCAAGGGGGUGACGGGUAGCAGGACUGAGAGGGUGACUGGCCACACUGGGCGUUACAUACGGGUAAGAAUGCGACGGGAGGCAGCAGUUGGGGAUAUGGAGAAAUGGGCGAAAGCCUGAGCCAGCGACGCCGCGAGGGGGAUGAGGGCGUACGGGUUGUAAACCUCGUUCGCUAUCGAACGGGUACUUGGAGAAGAAGCGCCGGCUAACUACGUGCCAGCAGCCGCGGUAAUUC
rnacentral:rRNA from 1 species